GAUGAACGCUGGCGGCGUGCCUAAUACAUGCAAGUCGAGCGAAUUGAUUAGAAGCUUGCUUCUAAGACGUUAGCGGCGGACGGGUGAGUAACACGUGGGCAACCUGCCUGUAAGACUGGGAUAACUUCGGGAAACCGAAGCUAAUACCGGAUAGGAUCUUCUCCUUCAUGGGAGAUGAUUGAAAGAUGGUUUCGGCUAUCACUUACAGAUGGGCCCGCGGUGCAUUAGCUAGUUGGUGAGGUAACGGCUCACCAAGGCAACGAUGCAUAGCCGACCUGAGGGGGUGAUCGGCAACACUGGGACUGAGACACGGCCCAGACUCCUACGGGAGGCAGCAGUAGGGAAUCUUCCGCAAUGGACGAAAGUCUGACGGAGCAACGCCGCGUGAACGAUGAAGGCCUUCGGGUCGUAAAGUUCUGUUGUUAGGGAAGAACAAGUACCGGAGUAACUGCCGGUACCUUGACGGUACCUAACCAGAAAGCCACGGCUAACUACGUGCCAGCCGCCGCAGUAAAAC
rnacentral:rRNA from 1 species